CACAGGGAAGCAGCACAGGACGGAGCCAGGACGAGCAGGGAUGGAGAAUGUUCCAUGGCAAGAACAGCUUCCCAAAUGUGGGUUUCCAUUCCCUGCCCACCUGACGCUCUCCAAAGAGAUGUUCUUGAUGAAACCUCGGGAUGAAACCUUGGGAUUCCAUCCCAGGGGCAGCAAAGCCUUGGGACACUCGGAGAAUUUCUCUUGGGCUUUGCUGAGGACAGAGGACCCCAAUAAACACCUGGGAUUUUGCCUGC